rnacentral:rRNA from 1 species
UUUAUGGAGAGUUUGAUCCUGGCUCAGAGUGAACGCUGGCGGCGUGCCUAAUACAUGCAAGUCGAACGAUGAAGCUUUUUAGCUUGCUAGAAAGUGGAUUAGUGGCGCACGGGUGAGUAAUGCAUAGGUUAUGUGCCCCAUAGUCUGGGAUAGCCACUGGAAACGGUGAUUAAUACCGGAUACUCCUUACGAGGGAAAGUUUUUCGCUAUGGGAUCAGCCUAUGUCCUAUCAGCUAGUUGGUGAGGUAAUGGCUCACCAAGGCUAUGACGGGUAUCCGGCCUGAGAGGGUGAACGGACACACUGGAACUGAGACACGGUCCAGACUCCUACGGGAGGCAGC